UACAGAGGGGGCAAGCGUUGUUCGGAAUUACUGGGCGUAAAGGGCGCGUAGGCGGCCGUCUAAGUCGAACGUGAAAUCCCCGGGCUCAACCCGGGAACUGCGUCCGAUACUGGAAGGCUUGAAUCCGGGAGAGGGAUGUGGAAUUCCAGGUGUAGCGGUGAAAUGCGUAGAUAUCUGGAGGAACACCGGUGGCGAAGGCGGAUCUCUGGGCCGAUACUGACGCUGAGGAGCGAAAGCGUGGGGAGCGAACAGG
rnacentral:rRNA from 1 species